rnacentral:lncRNA from 1 species
GCUAGCCCUUCGAGAACCUUCUUAGCUCUCUCAUACACAGCUUUUGGAGGGGUAAAAUAGUUAGGCUAAGUGCAUGCUGCACAGAACAAAAAUUGCAUUCAAGGUUGGAAGACUUAAUUGAUGUGCGUGUAGAAAAUAUACAAAAACAAAAAAAAAACGUGGUGAAAAUUUUGCAAAACCAUAAAAGGGAACAUAACCCAAAUAAAAACCAAUAUAAAAGUGUUGUGGCUGCAAAGACGAAAACUUAAAAACCAACCCCUGGAUAAGGUACGCCAAGAAAAAAAUGAAAAAGUGACCUUAUUACAUAAUUCCAUGUAUGUACUGUACAUAGGUUAUGAUCCACGUGUGGCAGGAAAUUGCUGACCUGGCCUGACCCUCGGUCUCGGAGGGGGGGGUCCGCUCCAGUACCACGAUCAUCCGUCCCUCUUUUUGGUGCCACCGGACCUUGCCUGCAGGCGAAAAAACGGAUGGACUUGGCGAUCGGGACCGAGUUGUUUAUAUACAUAUAUCUCACGCGCAACUAUAAAACCAUCUAUUAUAUUAUAUCACCGCGCCUUGUGUAAAGAAAUGUUGGUGCUUGCAUAU